UUUUUCUAAAAAUAAAAAAUUAAUCAUAAAAAAUGAUGCAGAGAAGAUUAGGAUGGUCUCUAGGCUAGGAUGCCACACAGAUUUGUGAAGUGUUCUAUAGUUAU